rnacentral:rRNA from 1 species
GUGCCAGACUCCUACGGGAGGCAGCAGUAGGGAAUUUUCGUCAAUGGAGGGAACUCUGAACGAGCAAUGCCGCGUGAGUGAAGAAGGUCUUCGGAUCGUAAAGCUCUGUUGCAAGAGAAAAACGACAAGCACAGGGAAUGGUGAUUGAGUGAUGGUAUCUUGCGAGGAAGCCACGGCUAGCUACGUGCCAGCAGCCGCGGUAAUACGUAGGUGGCGAGCGUUAUCCGGAAUGAUUGGGCGUAAAGGGUGCGCAGGCGGUCCUGCAAGUCUGGAGUGAAACGCAUGAGCUCAACUCAUGCAUGGCUUUGGAAACUGGAGGACUGGAGAGCAGGAGAGGGCGGUGGAACUCCAUGUGUAGCGGUAAAAUGCGUAGAUAUAUGGAAGAACACCAGUGGCGAAGGCGGCCGCCUGGCCUGUUGCUGACGCUGAGGCACGAAAGCGUGGGGAGCAAAUAGGAUUAGAUACCCUUGUAA